rnacentral:lncRNA from 1 species
CAGCCUGUUACUAGUGCCUGUGAGUUACCACGGCCUGAUAUACUAACUCUGGAGCCAGCUGAGACCUCCUGCCGGAGUGAGGAUGGAUACACCUGUCUUUAUUGGCUAAUUAGUACUAGUCCGCUCACUCCACAGGUGAAACGUGGGUCCUUUUGAUUGCCCCUAAUUAGGAAUGAGGUUACACCAGCAGCCCGGCGCUGUGCCACGCUCCUGCAGUUCGGGGAGAGAGUAAGUCGAGCUGUAGAGAGUGCAGACAGGGCAGGGGGAGAUAUUUUACUCUUGUGCUUCAACACCAGCCGCCAGCCCGCAGUCCUAUACCCUGUUGUUAGCGCCUUGAGGAAAUAAAACAAAUUUGCCAGUGUUUUGUUUGGGAUGGCACGUGGCUGGUGAAUGACAUGUCACAGUGAAGUUUGCAUUUUGUCUCCCUCGUGCUCCUGGCUAAGUCUGAGGUCUCCGCGGUAACACGCUCAGGACCUCCCUGUCGAAGGGCGCCGGGGGACCCCGGGGAAGGGACAAACGGUUUGGGAGGAAGAGGAACGGAGCUUGUCAGGGACGCGGCUGUUCAGGCUCCACCAGGGGAUCUCAGAAGACUCGAAGGAGAUUAAAAAGGACUGGAAGACAUUUGAACUCAGACCUCUGGGACGGACUGUUUCUCUGGGGAUGAGCAGGGGGGCGACAGAGCCCGUCAGAGCGGAGUCUCCUGAGCAGGACGACCUGGUCAGCAGACCAGAGCCCCUGCAGCAGAGGAAGAAGGCUGGGGGGUUUCAGGGACACAGAGGGGUGGCAAGAUCCCAGCCUUGUGCCGAAAACUGGUGAUCAAACAGUGGAAUACCAACCCGAGGACACCUGUGCAAACUACAGGGAAGAGCUCUUAACAGAGAGAACGGAGGCCGUUCUUUACACUCGGAGGUGUGGGAGUGUGGAACAAGCUUGCAAGCCAGAAGAAGUGUGUUGCCCCACGGGGCUAAGAGCAAAGGCAAUGUGUCUGUCCCACAUUGCGCCCUGCACAGCAGCUGGAGCUCUCAGCACGCGGAAGGAGCAAGCUGGCUGGGGAGCUGGAGAAUCUUGGAUUUCUGUGGUAUUUCUGUCUGGAACAGCUGCUGCCAGGCUGUGGGCAGCACUCAGGGCUCCAGUCUUGUGACUGAGAGUUGCAAGUUUAAAUCUGAGAUGGUGGCACAGCUCCAGCACUCCUUACCAAGGCUCCUGUGCGUACCCUCACGUGUGUGACAGUGUGUCAGGGAGAGUGUGUGAGAGUGUGUCAGGGAGAGUGAGAGUGUGAGUGUGUCAGGGAGAGUGUGUGACAGUGUGUCGGUGAGAGUGUGUGACAGUGUGUGACAGUGUGUCUGUGAG